UCAUGUGAAAGGCAAACUCGCCGAAAGGCGAGGACGCAAAGCUACGGGCCUAAGGGAAACUACGGUCGCCGGGCUGCCAAG
rnacentral:ncRNA from 1 species